rnacentral:rRNA from 1 species
UGGGGAAUAUUGCACAAUGGGCGAAAGCCUGAUGCAGCGACGCCGCGUGGGGGAUGACGGCCUUCGGGUUGUAAACCUCUUUCAGCAAGGAAGAAGCGAAAGUGACGGUACUUGCAGAAGAAGCGCCGGCUAACUACGUGCCAGCAGCCGCGGUAAUACGUAGGGCGCAAGCGUUGUCCGGAAUUAUUGGGCGUAAAGGGCUUGUAGGUGGCUUGUCGCGUCUGCCGUGAAAACUCGAGGCUUAACCUUGGGCGUGCGGUGGGUACGGGCAGGCUAGAGGGCGGUAGGGGAGGCUGGAAUUCCUGGUGUAGCGGUGAAAUGCGCAGAUAUCAGGAGGAACAACGAUGGCGAAGGCAGGUCUCUGGGCCGUUACUGACACUGGGAAGCGAAAGCAUGGGGAGCGAACAGG